rnacentral:rRNA from 1 species
UGAGAGUUUGAUCCUGGCUCAGGGUGAACGCUGGCGGCGUGCCUAACACAUGCAAGUCGAGCGGAGAUAUUCGCUGGAUGAGGUUCUUGCACCAAGUCCAUGAAUAUCUUAGCGGCGGACGGGUGAGUAACGCGUGGAUAAUCUGCCCAAUACUCCGGGAUAACGCUUGGAAACAGGUGCUAAUACCGGAUAAGCAUACACUGUCGCAUGGCAGAGUGUGAAAAGAUUCAUUGGUAUUGGAGGAGUCCGCGUAAGAUUAGUUAGUUGGUGGGGUAAAGGCCUACCAAGACAGCGAUCUUUAGCCGAACUGAGAGGUUGAUCGGCCACACUGGGACUGAGACACGGCCCAGACACCUACGGGUGGCAGCAGUGAGGGAUAUUGCACAAUGGAGGAAACUCUGAUGCAGCAACGCCGCGUGAAUGAAGAAGGCCUUCGGGUCGUAAAGUUCUAUCGAUGGGGACGAAUAAAUGACGGUACCCAAGUAAGAAGCCCCGGCUAACUACGUGCCAGCAGCCGCGG